AUGAAGAAUUGCAGUGUAAUUUGUAACUUCAUGGGCUUCUGCUCUCCUCAACUUCUGCUCAGCAGAAACUCACAAAUGACAGCCAUGCCCACACAGCUCAGCACACCGCUCGGUGGGAACCGUCCUCAUUCCCAGGCCUGCGAGCUGCGGCUCGUCGGCGGGAGCGCGGGGUAUUCGCCUGGGAGAGGUGGUGGCAUCAAGCCGCCUCGCGUUCGGGCCACCGCCUCCCCUUCUGCGCUCUCCUGCCGGUCGCCCAGCGCCUUGUCCCGCCGCCCGCCCUUCGGAGCGUGCGAGCCUGGCGCAGGAGGCGGGCUCUGCGCUCACCGGCCUCGCCUCCGCAGCCGGAGGGAGGGAGGGAGGAGGCGGGAAGGCGGGCGGAGGCGGGGGAGGAGGCGGGACUACGGCGGGCCGGAGCUGGCGCCGAGCGCGGUGGGAGAGCAGCGGGUACCCGGCUGGCUUGGCUGGCGGCCUCUGCCCGCACCUCGGCGCCGCAGCCCCGCAUCUCUCCCGCCCUUGGCUCCGACUCCGCGGCCGGCGGCACAGAGGAGCCGGCGGAACCCUGGAUCACUGUACCUGGAGAAGAACAGAAAAAUUAUUAUGCCUGUGUUCCCUCGGGACUCUUUGGAAAUUGCACAGUGACAUCAUCUGGGAUUUAGUCUGAUGUUAACCUGAGAUUUUCCACCGGUGAGAGGAUGGGUGAUGGAUGGGACCACAGAGCCAGAGAAAGAACGCAACACACUCUCAAGUGUUAGUGGAAACAUUUGCUCCUUCCUAUGCAGUAUAGAAUGAUUUUUGUUUUUCUUUAAUACAAACAAGACUCCUAGAGAAUGUUUAAUUUUGAAACCCCACAAAACCUAAGGGAGUGAAGAAGAUCUCACGCAAUCUGCAAUGUAAAGGUCAUCUCUUGAAUUUGGAUGUUUCUCAGCCAAGAACAUUCAGGGUGUCAUUGCAAGCACUGCAAGCCAGAGCCAGCAACCUCCACACUGUGAUUUAAUGUAGGGAGUGACUGAAAGUAUUUUUGUCAGAGGAACUGUUUCUCUGCUUAGCCUCAAUAUUUCAUAAAAAGCUCAUUGCAGCAAAUUUUUCAUUUGGCAGCAUCUGCUGUGCUAUCAUCUUGAUAUCCUCACAUCAUGAAACACUGUCACUUCAAGGUCAAAUGAAGGUCUAUUGGCAAUGAGUAGCUAAUUGUCAGCUACCAAUAGUCCUAUAUUUUGUAAAAAAAAAAUGCUUUUGUUUUCCUAUAAGGAUUCAGGCAAAUGACACAAUCAGCAGUGUUUUCAGGAGAAGGAAAAUGUGCAGGCCUCCUGAAGUUGAAGGGGAAAUAAAAAAUCCAGUUUUAGGAUCUGAGUGGGAUGA
rnacentral:lncRNA from 1 species